CCCGGCCCCCGCGUGCAGGUGCAAACCGCUGCCAACCGCGGCGUGGGCCUGAGCUGCCCUUGGGGACAGCCUCUGCCGGGGAAGGGCCCUCCUGCGACCACAGCCUGUCGCCUGGGGACGGCUAAGCAAGACGCUGCCCAAACCUGGGAGGAAGACCUACCCUGAAGCCGCAAGCUCUUUCCCACUUCGCCGGUGACCUUGGACGCCUCUUCUAAACAAGGUCAUCCUCAUCAAGAACUUUUUCCACCUGCCUCAGUUCUUGGGAGUAUUUCACGUUGUAAAUGAAUUCUUCCCUUCAACAAAAAUUAAUUUACUUAUAGAGCAUCUACUAGUAUGCCAGUCACAUUUAUAUGUGUUCUCUCUCAGACCAUCAUCCAGUUACCUCUUAAAUGUGAGUGUUUGCUUGGCUGUCCACUGAUCUCACAAUCAGUAGUCAACUGUGUGUAUAACGUCUCCUACUCAGUUCCUAUAUCCAGUGAGUAGGAAUGAGGAAAUUCGUUGCACGGACCUCCCUCAGCUAGAUUCAAGAUGUUCUGUGAAAUGGAAAUGUAGCCGAAUGGAAAGCAAGAUUGACAGUGAGAAUCCUCAAUCUGCCAUUUAUGAAGGAUAAUUUGUUCAACAUUAAAUAUAAAAAGCUCUGCCUGAUGGUUGCAUUAUAACCAGUGGGGUGUCUUGUCAACCAACGUGCUCGGAAACAGGACUCAUACUUUAUGGACACAUUUCAACAAAAUGAAAUUGGCGUUGUAGGAUAUGAGCAUUUUUAUGAUUGUCAGGAAAGGAACCAUGCUAUUUUUGGGAAAAGUUUUUACCAAUUUAUAUUCUUAUCAUCACUGU